UAUAGUUGAGCAUAACAACCAAUAAAGAUAUGCACAGUUCACACCGCAGACCGUAAUGCGGAUAUAUAAAUGACGGAUAUAAAGAAUUGUUGGAGGACAA
rnacentral:ncRNA from 1 species